GACGAACGCUGGCGGCGGGCUUAACACAUGCAAGUCGAAGGGGAUUCAGGAAGCUUGCUUCCUGAUGAGACUGGCGCACGGGUGAGUAACACGUAAGAAAUCUGGCUACAGGAGGGGGAUAACAUCGGGAAACCGGUGCUAAUACCGCAUGAUGCAGCGGGGCCGCAUGGCCACAGUUGUUAAAGGAGUAAUCCACCUGUAGAUGAUCUUGCGGGCCAUUAGUUAGUUGGUGAGGUAACGGCUCACCAAGGCGAUGAUGGCUAGGGGUUCUGAGAGGAUGAUCCCCCACACUGGAACUGAGACACGGUCCAGACUCCUACGGGAGGCAGCAGUGAGGAAUAUUGCGCAAUGGGCGAAAGCCUGACGCAGCCACGCCGCGUGCCGGAAGACGGUCCUAUGGAUUGUAAACGGCUUUUACCAGGGAAGAAUCAUCUCGAUUCGUCGGGAUCUGACGGUACCUGGUGAAUAAGCACCGGCUAACUCCGUGCCAGCAGCCGCGGUAAUACGGAGGGUGCAAGCGUUGUCCGGAAUCAUUGGGUGUAAAGGGUGC
rnacentral:rRNA from 1 species